CACCAGGUGAUCCGUUUAUCCCACUCAUCCUCUUCACUUCCUGUUGUCGACCAACUAAAACACUCAACCUAUCUACCUUCAUAUAGUAAAUUAAAUAUUGUUAUUGUUUCAUCACCCAGCCCUAAAUAUCCCACUCAUCAUCCUCCUCAUCCUCCUCCUCUUCCUCAUCCAUCCAGUCUGACUUCUGUAUCUUCCAGCCUGUAAAUCUCUAAAAUCGCAGCUGUUUCAUGUCCCAACAGCAUGAAUGAAGUGAACUAAACGGUUCGGAUCAUCGGGAGUUUCCCUGAUGUGGGAACAUCCUUCCUGUCAGCGCUCCGCUCUGAGAUAACAGAGUGUGUGUGUGUGUGUGUGUGUGUGGGUCCGGUCCAGGCCGUCGGGUCAGUCUGAGCUCAGAGUCUCACCAUCAGGCGACGCAGAUCAGCCUGGAUCAAAACCAGCGUUUUAUUGAUCUGAUGGCAGGUUUCCAUUUUUGAGAAGCUGAAUUUCAGGUUUUCUUUGAAAUCCAGCAGAUUUCAGAAACGAGUUUCACUUCUGGAGCAGAUGAACCUUCAGCCACAGCGCUGAGCAGCAGCAGCACGCUAGCAUCACGGCUAACUUCCUCCUGAUGAUGAUGAUGAUGAUGAUGAUGAUGAGCUGCAUGUAGGUGAAGGGAAGAGAUUCUACCUGAGCUUUUUAAAGAAGCUCAUUUCCAUAAACCUGACAGGAAGUUCAGACGGAUGGUUAAUCUCAUCUUCAUCUUUAGCUUCGUCUUUAGCUCUGACUGAAAUCCUGGCCGGGGUUUAUGUUGUUUCCAGCUGUUUUUUACCUUCAUGUUUUCUCCUGUGACUCUGAAUAUGAAUUCAAACUGGAGUUUUAAAUGAAGCCAGCAGUUUGACGCCGAUAUACUGCGGGAAUGUUCUGAACCAUUAGUUGUUUUUAAUUAGUGUUUUUCUUUUUUUCUUGUAAUCAUUGGGAGACAUUAAAGGUCUGUGUGGCUUUGAGCUCCUUCAUCCCUCCGUCUGCGUCGCAUUCUGCUGCAGCCUUGGCUUCGUGAGCGCUUGUUAAAGUCGAUGACAGAAGAGCCUUCCUGUCCUGAGGCUGAGUCACCGCACUGCUGCUCCAGUCCUGAGAACACUUUCAGCUCCUUUCUGAGCUGGAGGUGGAACUGGAGUACAACCAGCAGGCCCGGCGGUAUGGGCGAGAAUUGGGCGUGUUGGGGGGCAUUGGAGGGCAUUGGAGGGCAUUACCCACCCACAGAAUCAGCCCCUGGACUGGAAGCUGUUUGUUGUUUUUACCUUAAAAUGCCAACUCUCUGAUUUUCCUAUAUCGGUUUGAUACAGCAGCGGCUUCCGCACUUCCCAUAUCUGAGCCUUCUGUCACUUUUUUUCAGCAGUUAAAACUUUAAUCCGUUGUUAACACGUAACCUGUUCUUCCGAGCCGCCUUUAACGCAACAUGAGUGCUAUGACGCUCGCGCUGAGUUUAUACCUGUGCGGCAGAAGGAGACCUGCUGCUGCUGCGCAGAGCUGCUCAAGUGUGUUAGAAUCAUGGCAGCGAAACGCAAAGAACUUUACAGUUUUUCUCCCAAACUAACCGACUGAGUUCAGUAAAGCUGCUGGAUGCAGCUAAUAUUAGCUAAAAGAUGACUAGCUAAUGAUAGCUAAAAGAUGACUAGCUAAUGAUAGCUAAAAGAUGACUAGCUAAUGUUAGCUAAAAGAUGACUAGCUAAUGUUAGCUAAAAGAUGACUAGCUAAUGUUAGCUAAAAGAUGAUUAACUAACACCAGUACAGCGCCUUGCGCUUGCUAACUAGCAGUCUGUAGGCUACUGGUGUUUAUGUUCUGAAGUGGGAAGUACUUGUUACUUUCACUUGAGUAACAAGUACUUGGAAAAAAGUAUUUAUAAAAGUAGUUUUAUUGCACUGUUCCUUUUUCUUUUACUUGAGUCG